GGCCGCUCUUUGUCCUGCUGCACAUGUGGGCUCUGCACUGGAGAGAGAAAGAGACAUCAGAAGGGAAUUUUACUAUCUUUUUAAGCAGGGGCCUCGCUGCGGAAAAUGUCACUUUAUACAGCAGUAGACCUUGAAAAUAAAAUCUGGAUCAUUCAAAGACUCCCAGUCAGGGGAAAAGUGCCUGCCAGGUCCUCUGCCGGACAAGGGCCUUGAAGUUUGGAGUGGGGGUAAAGCAAUUGAAAUCUGCCCCAUACCAUCCAGAGAUCAGCAGUUUUGUUGAGAGGUUCAUCAGGACUCUAAAAUCCAUGUUCAACAGGAACAGAUGCAAACAAGAGGGUGAGUGACUGGGAUGUAAUGUUCCCCUGUCUAUUUGCUUACCCUGGAGUGCCCUAUUUCAUUUCCUGGGUGGGAGAAAAGUCAGAGGGCCCCUGGAUCUCACUGGAGAGUCCCUGGAGGGUGGCUCUGAGGCAGAGGAGGAGUUUAUGACUGAACUUGUGCAAAAGUUUGGGGCAGGGCCGGCUUUAGGCCUAUUACCCCGAAUCAGGCCCCGUGCCCUAAAGUGUAGAUCAAUUUUUGAUAAUUUUUAUAUGACUUUACAUUGUGCCUUUUUAUAUAACCUUAUGGUGGGUCUACCCACGUGUGACCUUUGUUUUUAUGGAACUUUGUAUUAAAGCCUUAUUUAGAAACUUUGCAUUACCCUUGGUAUAACAUUAUAGCCCCUAAGGAUAAAAUAAGAUAGAAGAAAAUUUUUUUUUUGCUAGCAGUAGAACAAGAGCUCUCUCCCCCCCCACUCUUAAUCAAUUGCCCUGUUGAAUGAAUGAGGUGUGGAUGAGCAAGGCAUGGAAGGCAGCACCUCCAGACAGCCUCAACUGUUGGAGAGGGGCUGGGAGCCAGACCCAAGGACAAUAAAACGUGUCAAGUGGGCUCAUUAAAGACAAGCAGACAUACUGACGGCCUCGGGGGUUAGAAGCAAGCUCCUUCUUUUGGAAACACCCUCUUUGCAGCAUUGGGACAACACUCAAAAGAAAGCAGCACAAAGGACCAAUGGACACAGACACAGAGUUUGAAUCUGGUAUAGAUUUGCAUAAGAGGGAAGCUGCUAUAAAAGUGAGGUGUCUUGCAGAGGACCCCAGGUCUCGUCUUGUCAACAUGGGAGCAUCGAUCCGGAUCGGCAGAAGCCCGGCUCCACCCCCUCCCCCAUCUAACUCACCUGGCCAGUGAAGUUAAGGGGAGCAACUAAUUGGUAACAACAAGACAGAGUGUGUUUGUGUGUGUGUGUGAGUGUAAGUGUAAUAUAUUAUAUGCAUAUAAUACAGUGUUAAUAAAUACAUGUAUUACUAAUAAAUGUGGUGUUCUGCCUUAUUCCCCCUGAAAAGAUCCUGUGCAGUACUUUAAGUACAACAUUUUGGUGGAGAAUGCGAAAGGGGGAGCAAGCAUAGAACCCACAGUUAUUAUAAAACUGGUGUGCACACCGCCAGCUUUAGCAAGCCUGGCACUAUAGAAAAAAGAGCGUAAACUUUCAGUUAAUUAA